GUCUCUGCAUUGUCAGUCCUGUAACUCAAACGCCGUGCUACUACCUAUGUGGUUGCUAAUUCAAAAUAUACGUGGGCAUUUUAUGCUUAUUUUACAUUUUUGUUCUGCUUUUGUUGCGGUAUCGAUUAUAACCAGGAGCGACUGAUCCGUAGAGGGGGCUGGAAGGUAAUCGUAGAGCCAACAGAGCGUUGGAAAAUAAUUUUUAAAAAAGGGAGGCUGCUUUAAAUGGACGGGAGCGGAGUGUGGACGUGGGUCUGACAUUUCCUCUGUCCUGCUGCUCCUGCUGCCGGGGGUCCGGGCGAAGGGGGACUGCGGACACGUGAGCUGAAUUUCCAAUGCAGCAGUUCACCGGCAGCGCUGGAGAGAGGGAGUGGAGCAGACAUGCGCCGGCUCGCUAAUCUCUCCGCUAAUAUUGCGGAUUUGGAUGCGGCCAUGGAGGAGCCAGCAGAGGAGGCUCUCGCAGGGUGAAGGGCGCAUGGUGCAGGCAAGGCUCCGGGUGUGAAAGCCGUUUUUCUCUUUGCAUUGCCUUCUCCAGGGCUGGUUGGGUCAUGGCUUGGCCGUGCAUCAGCAGGGUCUGCUGCCUGUCUCGCUUCUGGAGCCAGCUGGACAAGUCCGACCUCUCGGUGCCGCUGACUGUCCAGAAUUAUUCCGAGGUCAUAGAGCAAGAGGUGAGGUCGGUGACCCAGCAAGUCCCAGCAGACUCGACCCUGAACAACAAUGCAUCCCUGGCCCCCGAGCACAGAGCAGAGGCUUCGGUCCAGGAGUCGGUGUCCAGGCACGACUUCAAGUCCUGGAGGGUGCGCAAGGAAGCGAGCUGCAAACCCAGGCGGGAGUACCAUCCGUCCGGGGUCCCUUUCUCCAGCGACACCCAGUACAAACUGGACUUCAAGGCUUGGCCCAUCCCUAAAAAGGAGAAUUACCCUUGGGUAAAGGCAGGGCAGGACCAGCUCUCAAUGCCCAGCAGUUCCAGCGCUCACACUCUCCACCCCGGGCCAACUGCAGACCAGCAGAAAGGAGAGAGACCACCAAAUCCCAGGGAGCCCGUCCCGAGGCACACCCGGGAGGAGGCGAUCAGGCCCGCAGUCAAAACCACCUCCUACAGACAGGAGUUCCAGCCCUGGACUGGAGUUAAAGUGGCCAAACCUGUGAAGGUAAGGCAGGUCUACACUCCCCCAGGAGAUAAGAUUGUCCUCGAGAGCAGUUACCGGGCAGCUUUCACAGAGGAUGCUUUCCGACGUAUUGAACCACUUCAGGUUGCAUCCAGCAAGUCUCAGAACCAAAUAGCUUCAGUGUCGGAGACGGGCAAUGUAACAAAGACUGAGAGCUCAGAGCCAGUGGUGAAGACAAAGUUAUCACCAUCAUCGAAUUCCUCGGCAGUGUUCCAGACCCGCUCCCGUGUGCUGAACAUAUAAACCCAGUCACAGCUUCCCCUUCGAAGGAACUGGUCCCAGUGCUGAAGUCAUCCCAGACUAAAGGCAGCUGUAUUAAUUCUGCCAAAACAAACUAUGCAAAAUAAGCCUCGGAACAGAGGAAUGCUGGCGUUUGAAGUGACCCUCAUCAGGAUAUUUGUCUCCAGUUGCCUGAUAAAUACUUGUCUUUGUACAGUAACUGAUUGGGACUUGAGCAAAUCCUAUUUAACGUGUGUACGUCUCAUCUGCAUGUUGUGUAAGGAUAGCUUGGCUGAUUGCACACUAAGGGACUUCGACAACAAGCACAGGCCUAGCAUGGAGGAACAGAAUAUAAAAGGGAGGCAAGUUCUAGUUGGAGUGAUCAUUUUAAGGAAGGCUGUUUGAGGUCGAAGUGUUAAGCUUGAGGUCUAAGCUUUGACAAGGAAGGCUCCAUCAAGAAGGCUGAGCAGUGACAUCAAGAUAAAAUUGACUUAUGGACAUCUGUAAAAACGUAACCCGUUCAUUACCUGGGGGCAGCCUUUAUGAACAAGAAUGUACAAAUUAGGAGCAGGAAGAAGCCAUUUUGCAGCUUGAGCCUGCUUCUCCAUUCAAUAAGAUUAUUGCUAAUCUGUUUGUAAUUUCUACUCCUACAAAGGAUUACAACCUUUCACCCCAAAUGUUCUUUUAAUGGUGAUCGUAGCCUUCCAAUUAUUGACACAAUGCCCGGUGGAAAUGCUUAACCGUGGGGUAAGCUGUCACAAUUGACCAGGUCUGAUGAUAAGAGGUCUUUUGGAUCUUCCUUUUCCACAAGCUGACAACAAUUUUAUCUUCCUUCCUGAGAUUUCUAUUUUACCUCAGAGGAAAGCAUAUGUCAAGCUCGAGACCAUAAUCAGAAUUACACAUGCAAAUUUAAAACAAGGGCAAAAAUAUUACAGAGCAGCUGUGGGGGAAAAAACAAGCAAUUCAUCAAGUUUCAUGAUAUUAUCUCAAAUAUAUUAUCCUGUGCCCCACAAAUGGCCAGAACUCAAUUUUUUUUUUAAACUGAUUCAAGUCUAUUUUUAUUCAACUGAAUUUUCAAGUUACUAUCUAUAGUUUCAGAAAGAGGGUAGAAUAAACAGAGGCCAAACCAACAGCAUUCUUAUCCAGCAACGAUUUUAACCAUUCAGAUUCAGACCAGCACACAGACAGGAGAAUCUAUUUUGUAAAUGAGCCAAACAGGCUGCACUGCACAAUGCUGCUCUUUAACCAAGUCACAGCAAACAGCUCAAAACAACAACAGUGUCUUUUGGCCAAGAACCGAGGGCCAGAGGCAGAGCCCAACUCCCAUUAGUCAGCUCAAUAUGUUAUACGAAUGCCAAUGUGCUGAAGGCAAGACCUUGACACACAGGAGAUUCAAGAGCAGACAGAUGAAAGAGUCCCACGGUGAAAUCAUUAUACUCUUCAACCUAAGCCACCAAAGGGGUAGUUUUUUCUCAAGAAAAGAUGUGAUUUUAAAUCUGUGUCUUUUACCAUUUUGCAAAAAUUUUUUUGUAAUAAAGUAACAAGCCACUUCUUAGCCACUGCUGUUUGGCUCAUGGGGUGAGUUCCCUGAACAAAGGGAGACAGCUUCUCUUUAGAUCCUCCUGCACCGCAUAUCAAGUGCAAACUGACUGAUGCUCUGGUUUCCUCUUUCACUCAUCAAACCAGUGGUAGAGC